rnacentral:rRNA from 1 species
AAAGCACUUUCAGUAGGGAGGAAGGUAGUGUAGUUAACACCUGCAUUAUUUGACGUUACCUACAGAAGAAGCACCGGCUAACUCCGUGCCAGCAGCCGCGGUAAUACGGAGGGUGCGAGCGUUAAUCGGAAUUACUGGGCGUAAAGCGCAUGCAGGCGGCCUGUUAAGUCAGAUGUGAAAGCCCGGGGCGUUAACCUCGGAAUUGCAUUUGAAACUGGCAGGCUAGAGUCUUGUAGAGGGGGGUAGGAAUUUCAGGUGUAGCGGUGAAAUGCGUAGAGAUCUGAAGGAAUACCAGUGGCGAAGGCGGCCCCCUGGACAAAGACUGACGCUCAGAUGCGAAAGCGUGGGGGAGCAAACAGGAUUAGAUACCCCUGGUAG